AAUAAAUCUUAAUCUGUGGCACAUGUUCAUCCAAGGACAAACCCACAUCCCACACACAGAGCAUUGCUGGUGGUUGAUCUGUGAGGAUUCAAGAAAUUGGACCAUAGCAGCUAACAUUUUUCUACACCAUACUGAUUGAAGGAUUUAAAGUGGUUUCUCUAGUUGCUUCCAACCCAAGCUGUGCCACUUACCUUUCUAUGGUGCCUUCUGCUGAGCUCCCAUGGAGGAUGGACAAAAAAAGUGCCUUUUGGAAACAUGAAACCUCAUCUAUGCACUUCCUGUACUACCUUUCACAUCUCCAGAUUUCAGGAGCAGUAUACAGUAAUAGUGCUAUGUAAGAUAGCCCCUAAUUACUGCUCCCCUGGAUUCUCUUCCGCAAGGACAGUCUUUCCAAGAAAUUACAUGUAUAGACACCUGGCACCAUGAGAUAGGAAGGCUCACCAUGGAUACUGGUCUCCAUUCCCAGUCUGACUAGUGCUCCUGGGAUCCUGAGACCUGUUCUCUAGGAUAUUUCUCCAGAUGUGCAUUAGAUAGACUGUACUGUGAGCCAUUCAGAAACAGUUUGCAUAUCAAGCUUGGAAAAACAAAGAGAUAGAGAAAGGAUAGUUUUAAUCUGCUAUUUACAAUAUUGCAUCAUGACAGAUAAGGACAGUUGUUUGUUCACAUCAGAAAUGAUAAAUAGCCUGAAACAAAUAGAUGAUACAUGUUUUUUUCAAGAUGUUUACUGGCAAA